CUGGCGCUGGUGCGGCAGGCGUACCCCGAUCCGGCGCGGCGGGCCCGGGCGGUGGCCGCCUGGGCGGCGGGCGGUUCGGCGGCGGUGGCGCUGGG
rnacentral:tRNA from 1 species